AUACGUAUGUCUCAAGCGUUACCCGGAAUCACUGGGUGUAAAGGGUUCGUAGGCGGUUUGAUAAGUUGGAUAUGAAAGACCGGAGCUCAACUCCGUGUUGGUGUUCAAAACUGUCAAACUAGAAUCAGGGAGAGGUAAGCGGAAUUCUAAGUGUAGGGGUGCAAUCCGUAGAUACUUAGAGGAACACCGAAAGCGAAGGCAGCUUACUGGAACUGUAUUGACGCUCAUGAACGAAAGCGUGGGGAGCGAAAAGGAUUAGAAACCCUAGUAGUCC
rnacentral:rRNA from 1 species